rnacentral:rRNA from 1 species
GACAGAGGGUGCAAACGUUGUUCGGAAUUACUGGGCGUAAAGCGCGUGUAGGCGGCCCUGCAAGUCGGGUGUGAAAUCCCACGGCUCAACCGUGGAAGUGCAUUCGAAACUGCAGGGCUAGAGUCCUGGAGAGGAAGGUGGAAUGCUUGGUGUAGAGGUGAAAUUCGUAGAUAUCAAGCGGAACACCCGUAGCGAAGGCGGCACUCUGGGCCGGAACUGACGCUGAGGAGCGAAAGCGUGGGGAGCAAACAGG